GCAAGAUGUUUCCUCAUGCAGCUUGUUCUUUGGAGGACUCUUUCAUAAUUCUGGUUGAAGGAACCAACAAAAUCUGAAGCAAGAAUAUUAGCUCUGAAAGCGUUUGAUUCCUACCUGGAACCUGAGGUAGAGUGUGGCCACCUGCUAAGAAUGAAGGAUUCCCAG